GGAAUCUUCCCAUUCAGCAUGGCCAAGUCGAGCUCCCUGCCCUGUUUCCUGACCAGCCUUUGUGGGCAGCGUGGAAGGUGUGGCCUUCCAUGGCAGCAUCCACUUUCUUAGAGGUCCUCCACGUCGGUGGCACCUCCCUCCCUCUCAACCACGUGAGCAGACUCCAAGACACCUCCUCCCUUGACAUCCGCAGUUGUGCCAAGGGCCAUUAGGCUCUCAGCAUGACUAUUUUUAGAGACUUCGUGUCUGUCAGUGAGACAUUUCUCCUCUGUGAAAGUAUCCCUCCCUCCAUCUGCAAUAGCUGCCCCUGCUGACUGCACCUCUCUGCUCGCCCUGACCCCAGAGAAAGGGGCCUUGGUCCACUGGUCCUCUGCCCCCACUGCCUGCAGCCAGCAGGAAUGGGAGAACAGGCUGGCUCGGAGGCAGUGUCUGCGUUCUGCACAGCUGCCGUUCUGUAAUGACAAGUGCACUGUUGGUUCACCCUCA